CUACCAUUGACCUGAGAUCCUCACAGUUUUCUAAUAUCAGGAGGAAAUGUCUUUCUCCGUGUUUUUAAAGGCUUCAUGUCGACAACCUAAUUCUCCCGGGGAGAAUUUGAGAUCCCAUUACACACCAGGCAUUCCUCUGGGAGUGCACAGGAUGGGAAACAUCUCUGCCCCGGCAUAGGAGGCAAACAGCCAUUGGUCAAUCUGCGGCUCCUACCUUCUGCUGCUGGGGACCCGAGGAGGAUGGGAGAUAUUCCAUUGUUACCAUGUAGAAACACCCCUGGACUUUUGUGUUAAUUUAAAUUUCAUCUAAAUAAAAAGCUUCCAAAUGACCAAGAAAACAAUCAACAAAAUGAGGAGGUAACCUGUGCUACAGGAGAAAAUAUUUGCCAGCCAUCAAUACGAUAAAGUGCUGAGAGCCAAAAUGUUCACAAUAAGCAAGAUACAGAAGCAACCUAAGUAUAUCCUGAUAAAUGGAGGAUAAAGGAAAUGUCACACACACACACACACACACACACACACACACACACACACACACAAGAGAGAGAGAGAGAGAGAGAGAGAGAGAGAGAGAGAGAGAGAGAGAGAGAACGCACACAACAAGCAAAAAGGAAAUAAUGUGUCAUUCUCCACCACACAGCUAAAACUAGAAAGCACUCUGUAAAGUGAAAUAAGCCAAGCACAGAAAGACUAACAUUACACGAUCCUGUUUACACUCGGAAUGUGAAAGAGCAACCUGGCAGAAGCCGAGAGUAGAGUCAGUGUCAGGACUAAGGUGGUGUAGGGUGGGGUGGGGGGUGGGGGGGGAAAGAAAGAUGAUGUCAAAGGUCAAAGGCAAAAGUUAGGCAGCAAAAGAAAGUUCUGGAAAUGCAUUGUACAGUGUGAUAGCUGUAAUUAAUAGAGAGUAGAUCCUGAACAUUAACACCAGGGAGGAAAAGGGAUAUGCUAACUAGCUUGAGCAUGGUGAUCAACUUGCGAUAUAUGCAUACAUCUAUAUCUAAAGUAGAUCUUGCAUGUUUGCAACUGUUAUUUGUCAACGAUUUCUUCAGCAAGUCUGGGAAAUCAUAAAAUAAUGCGAUGAAGGUAAAAUCACCAAGCUAUGCAAGAUAUUUCCUUUAUUGUGGCCUUAAUCCCCAGAGGUGGCGAAAUUCAGAGUUCUUCAAACCACCCUUUAGGGACUGUGGCUAAUUUCCUUAUCGGUUCCAUAUGUUUUAGUAAUGUAGUCUCAGGGGUUGGGAAUCAACAUUCCUCUGUGCCCCAGUUUCCCUGGCUUCCAAGAGGUUCCGAGUCAACCGGAGAUGGAUGUUAGCAUCCUGGUUUGCGAAGUUUCUCAGAGUCCUCGGAGACCGCUUGCUCACCGACUUUUCUCAACGGCUUCAUCUUGUUAAACUCCUUGACUGAUUUUGCAGCAGGGGGCUCGGGGCCCCGAGAGACUGGAAGGUACUCAUAAUUUAUGAAAGUCAUCGCUGUGCCGAUGCCCCCUUGAUGGCUCACAUGCCAAUCCCCGUCAACACACCAGAAGGGUUUAGAGGGCUUCUCGGAGAGACUUCCCCCUUCCUUUUAUGUCAACCCACACGAUGCUUCAGUCUCCAUGGACAACUUUCUGCUCUCAAAAUGAUUAAGUAUAUGGCAGGUCCAAAGGACUCUGGGAUCUACUGAGUCUCCGGUCCCUGAGAUGCUCCCUUCUUCCUGACCAGUCUUCCUUCGACACCCGCCUAAAUGAAACAGUCUAAAGGGGAGAGAAGUUAAUGAACGUCAUAGAGAAGACUUCUGGAGUUUGGGAGUCAGAAACCUAGGUUGCCGUCGUCCAAUCCUUCCACUUAUUUCCAACAGAUGUCCCCGCCACAUUCCCCACCCCGACCCCUCCGGAAAGGGACUCUGGCUUCAUAUUGUGUCAUAGUCUCCAGGACAGCAGCCCCCUCUCCUGAAUGAAAACACAUUUGGAAACACCAGCAUUGACCCAAAAGGAAUGACGCUACAAUUCGUGAUAUUCUUUCAGCGCCUACCAAGUGCAUGGUGGGAGAGCCCUGUAUUAGCUUGGAACUAAUAUGCAGAAAGUUACUUGAUUUUUAAAACGGGGGCAGUGCCAGCUUUCGUAUCAUGGCAUAGGUGUUUGCCAAGACAGCUUCUUAAGUACCUGUCACAUGCAUGCCACACGUGUGCCUGUCACUGCUGCUGAACCUGUGGACAGGCGAAACACUCUGCUCGGCGGGCAGCCAAGGUGGGCUUCCGAAGGAUAAAACAGAGAGAAAUCUCUGUUUCUGGAGCCUGCCUAUAAACCUUGUGUAGGUUCCUUAGUUUCCAUGCCCUCCUCUGUAAAAUGAAUCAAUUGCUUCUAAGGCCGAGAUUUUGAACUCAUUAAAGGAAAUGACAUGGAAAACUCUUAGCAAGGCGCUCUGGUCAAGGUAGGCCUGACCAGAAAACAAAACAAAACGACAACAACAACAACAAAAAAAAAAAACAACUUUUUUCCCUUUUCCUGUGGCAAAAGGUAACAGAGAGAGAGAGAGAGAGAGAGAGAGAGAGAGAGAGAGAGAGAGAGAGAGAGAGAGAAAUAGCACAGGAAAUGCUAAGCUGCUGGAUUCCAGUGAAUGAGUGCUCUAAGAGUCCAAUGAAGCUGAGAUUGAAGGCAGCUGGAAUCUACUGGGAAGGGCUGACUAGAAGAAGAGGCCUUCCCUUGCAGGGUGGUUAGAUGGGGGCAUCCUUUUGCCUCUAAUUUUGAAAACGCACACCACAGACGGUUUCA